rnacentral:rRNA from 1 species
GGGUUGUGAGGUUAAGUGACUAAGCGUACACGGUGGAUGCCUAGGCAGUCAGAGGCGAUGAAGGGCGUGCUAAUCUGCGAAAAGCGUCGGUAAGGUGAUAUGAACCGUUAUAACCGGCGAUACCCGAAUGGGGAAACCCAGUGUGUUUCGACACACUAUCAUGUCAUGAAUACAUAGUGGCAUGAGGCGAACCGGGGGAACUGAAACAUCUAAGUACCCCGAGGAAAAGAAAUCAACCGAGAUUCCCCAGUAGCGGCGAGCGAACGGGAGAAGCCCAGAACCUGAAUCGGCUUGUGUGUUAGUGGAAGCGUCUGGAAAGUCGCGCAGCAAGGGUGAUAGCCCCGUACACUAAAAUGCACAGGUCGUGAGUUCGAUGAGUAGGGCGGGACACGUGACAUCCUGUCUGAAUAUGGGGACCAUCCUCCAAGGCUAAAUACUCCUGACUGACCGAUAGUGAACCAGUACCGUGAGGAAAGGCGAAAAGAACCCCGGCGAGGGAGUGAAAUAGAACCUGAAACCGUGUACGUACAAGCAGUGGGAGCACCUUCGUGGUGUGACUGCGUACCUUUGUAUAAUGGGUCAGCGACUUAUAUUUUGUAGCAAGGUUAACCGUAUAGGGAGCCGUAGGAAACCGAGUCUUAACUGGGCGAAUAGUUGCAAGGUAUAGACCCGAAACCCGGUGAUCUAGCCAUGGGCAGGUUGAAGGUUGGGUAACACUAACUGGAGGACCGAACCGACUAAUGUUGAAAAAUUAGCGGAUGACUUGUGGCUGGGGUGAAAGGCCAAUCAAACCGGGAGAUAGCUGGUUCUCCCGAAAGCUAUUUAGGUAGCGCCUCGUGAACUCAUCUUCGGGGGUAGAGCACUGUUUCGGCUAGGGGGCCAUCCCGGCUUACCAAACCGAUGCAAACUCCGAAUACCGAAGAAUGUUAUCACGGGAGACACACGGCGGGUGCUAACGUCCGUCGUGAAGAGGAAACAACCCAGACCGCCAGCUAAGGUCCCAAAGUCAUGGUUAAGUGGGAAACGAUGUGGGAAGGCACAGACAGCCAGGAUGUUGGCUUAGAAGCAGCCAUCAUUUAAAGAAAGCGUAAUAGCUCACUGGUCGAGUCGGCCUGCGCGGAAGAUGUAACGGGGCUAAACCAUGCACCGAAGCUGCGGCAGCGACGCUUAGGCGUUGUUGGGUAGGGGAGCGUUCUGUAAGCCGUUGAAGGUGGCCUGUGAGGGUUGCUGGAGGUAUCAGAAGUGCGAAUGCUGACAUAAGUAACGAUAAAGCGGGUGAAAAGCCCGCUCGCCGGAAGACCAAGGGUUCCUGUCCAACGUUAAUCGGGGCAGGGUGAGUCGACCCCUAAGGCGAGGCUGAAAAGCGUAGUCGAUGGGAAACAGGUUAAUAUUCCUGUACUUGGUGUUACUGCGAAGGGGGGACGGAGAAGGCUAGGCUAGCCGGGCGACGGUUGUCCCGGUUUAAGCGUGUAGGGGGUGUGACCUGGUAAAUCCGGUUGCAUAUCAACCCUGAGGCGUGAUGACGAUGCACUACGGUGCAGAAGUAGUUGAUGCCCUGCUUCCAGGAAAAUCCUCUAAGCUCCAGGUAACAUUGAAUCGUACCCCAAACCGACACAGGUGGUCAGGUAGAGAAUACCAAGGCGCUUGAGAGAACUCGGGUGAAGGAACUAGGCAAAAUGGUGCCGUAACUUCGGGAGAAGGCACGCUGGCAUGUAGGUGAAGUCCCUUGCGGAUGGAGCUGAAGCCAGUCGAAGAUACCAGCUGGCUGCAACUGUUUAAUAAAAACACAGCACUGUGCAAACACGAAAGUGGACGUAUACGGUGUGACGCCUGCCCGGUGCUGGAAGGUUAAUUGAUGGGGUCAGCCGCAAGGCGAAGCUCUUGAUCGAAGCCCCAGUAAACGGCGGCCGUAACUAUAACGGUCCUAAGGUAGCGAAAUUCCUUGUCGGGUAAGUUCCGACCUGCACGAAUGGCGUAAUGAUGGCCAGGCUGUCUCCACCCGAGACUCAGUGAAAUUGAACUCGCUGUGAAGAUGCAGUGUACCCGCGGCAAGACGGAAAGACCCCGUGAACCUUUACUAUAGCUUGACACUGAACAUUGAGCCUUGAUGUGUAGGAUAGGUGGGAGGCUUUGAAGCGUGGACGCCAGUCUGCGUGGAGCCAUCCUUGAAAUACCACCCUUUAAUGUUUGAUGUUCUAACUCUGCCCCGUGAUCCGGGGUGAGGACAGUGUCUGGUGGGUAGUUUGACUGGGGCGGUCUCCUCCCAAAGAGUAACGGAGGAGCACGAAGGUUAGCUAAUCACGGUCGGACAUCGUGAGGUUAGUGCAAAGGCAUAAGCUAGCUUGACUGCGAGAGUGACGGCUCGAGCAGGUACGAAAGUAGGUCUUAGUGAUCCGGUGGUUCUGAAUGGAAGGGCCAUCGCUCAACGGAUAAAAGGUACUCCGGGGAUAACAGGCUGAUACCGCCCAAGAGUUCAUAUCGACGGCGGUGUUUGGCACCUCGAUGUCGGCUCAUCACAUCCUGGGGCUGAAGUAGGUCCCAAGGGUAUGGCUGUUCGCCAUUUAAAGUGGUACGCGAGCUGGGUUUAGAACGUCGUGAGACAGUUCGGUCCCUAUCUGCCGUGGGCGUUGGAAGAUUGAGAGGGGUUGCUCCUAGUACGAGAGGACCGGAGUGAACGCACCACUGGUGUUCGGGUUGUCAUGCCAAUGGCAUUGCCCGGUAGCUAAGUGCGGAAAAGAUAAGCGCUGAAAGCAUCUAAGCGCGAAACUUGCCUCAAGAUGAGUCUUCCCUGGGCCUUUAAGGCCCCUGAAGGAACGUUUAAGACUAAGACGUUGAUAGGCUGGGUGUGUAAGUGCAGCGAUGCAUUGAGCUAACCAGUACUAAUGAUCCGUGAGGCUUAACCUUACAACACCGAAGGUGUUUUAG